UUGUGCACUGGAAAGACCGAACAUGCAGUGAACCUUCAUCCACCAUUGGAUACCGUCAUUGGACCAACUGGCUGGACCCUACAAAAUGGUGACCCAUCUCCGUGAUCUCCCAACUCAGGCGAGGUACGUCUUUCCAGCACAAAAUGGAUUUAUAUCAACCAAGAGGUUUGGAUCUUCUAUUCUAUCUUCAGCUGCUGUGGUAAGUCAAUUCUUCUUUGCCUAUUAGAAAUGUUGAGGGAAAGCUGGACGCACCCUAUAUAAACACAUUGAUAGAAUGAGUCGGAAAUGCUCAAAAAUGUUAGACCGGAAUGCGUUAUCCGGUGGGGUUGAGAAUUAGACAAAACCACUUUGAUUAUCAGGGACAUGAUAGCAGCAGUAUAGAUUAAUGCCAUCCCUUGCUCUGAAAUCUCUUUGUCUGCUAGGCAGCAAGAGUUGAAGCUUAAAAUUGGAAUAACAUCAUCCAAAUUAUAUUCUGGGACUCAGUGGAGAGUCAUAAAUUAGAUCCUAAAAGUUUAAAUCAAAAACUAUCCAUUGUUUUAAAUCUACUGU